rnacentral:rRNA from 1 species
UACCAGCUCUCCGAGUGGUAGGGAUGAUUAUUGGGCUUAAAGCGUCCGUAGCCGGCUUAGCAAGUCUCCUGUUAAAUUCAGCGACCUAAUCGUUGAGCCGCGGGAGAUACUACUAGGCUAGGAGGCGGGAGAGGUCGACGGUACUUCUGGGGUAGGGGUGAAAUCCUAUAAUCCCGGGAGGACCACCAGUGGCGAAGGCUGUCGACUAGAACGCGCUCGACGGUGAGGGACGAAAGCUGGGGGAGCGAACCGGAUUAGAUACCCGGGUAGUCCCAGCUGUAAACGAUGCGGGCUAGGUGUUGGGGUGGCUACGUGCCACUUCAGUGCCGCAGGGAAGCCAUUAAGCCCGCCGCCUGGGGAGUACGGCCGCAAGGCUGAAACUUAAAGGAAUUGGCGGGGGAGCACCACAGGGCGUGAAGCUUGCGGUUC